GGCUGGAUGGUCUAGUGGUAUGAUUCUCGCUUAGGGUGCGAGAGGUCCCGGGUUCAAUUCCCGGUUCAGCCC